rnacentral:rRNA from 1 species
UACGUAGGGGGCAAGCGUUGUCCGGAAUUAUUGGGCGUAAAGAGCGCGUAGGCGGUCCGAUAAGUCGGCUGUGAAAGUCCAGGGCUCAACCCUGGAAAGCCGGCCGAUACUGUCGGACUAGAGUCCGGAAGAGGCAAGUGGAAUUCCCGGUGUAGCGGUGAAAUGCGCAGAUAUCGGGAGGAACACCGAUUGCGAAGGCAGCUUGCUGGGACGGUACUGACGCUGAGGCGCGAAAGCGUGGGGAGCAAACAGG